GAGAAAUGGCUAGACAUAAGCUAUACGUAAUGGAAUGUGUGACGCGAGUGAGGAGGUUUGAGACCUACGUGGCGUGGGCUACCACCGGCUUACACUUAAGGUAACAAUGUUUGUAUAGAACGAUGCUCACCGAGAGUGGUUAGUUAGUUAUUAAGUGUCUGUACUGCAAACAAGGGAGGGAGGAGGAGGGGGGAGUAGGAGAAGGAGGUGAAGCGGAAAGUAUUGUGGGACAUUGGAACGAUUUCUUCUGUAGACUUUAUGCAGAGAAGACGUGUGUGCCAGGAAGUGUGUCUAGCUGGUGCACUGCCUCGUCAUCAGUUUGUAAGGCGGGUGACUUCAGUGUAUCGCCGCUACGUGGCAGCUUUGUUCCUAAUCGAGAUGGAGGAAGCCUGAACAUCGGUCUGUGAUCACCCAGCUGCCUAACAUACCAGCCACAUUUACAUUCUAGUCUUGCCCAGGACGGAAUCCGUCCUCUCACCAGGAGUUGACGAUCCAAAGGCCUGACUCCACAGCGAUAGGGGGGCUCCUCUACUAUCACUACGCCUUCAUUGACAACGCCCACUACCACUGCCUCGCCACCGGUGCAACAUAAAGGAAGGACUCUGCCUUGCAUCGCACCACACGCACUGCGUACUCUUAACGCCGCCGCUGAGUGGGUGGUAGCGAGGAGUUGGUGAUCCAAAGGCUUGACUACAGAGAACCUCCGACUCCUGCACCAUCAGGGAGGGACUCUGGCUUCCCACGGCCUUCACAGACCCUUUCCCCAUUAUCACCACCACCACCAACCGCUACCGCCACCGUCGCUGUUACUGCCGCAGAGUGACUGCCUCGCAGCGCACCCCAGCGGCCCGGCAAACGCCUACCACCAUCAGCACCACCGCCGCCGCCGCCGUCCAGCGAGUUUCAGCUUCGCGUCGCACACAUUCUGGCACUCAAAACCUGCCGCCGCCGUCACCACCACCACCAAGAAUUCUUCGUGGAUUCUGCAUGGUACCUUGACCCUGCGCGGCCAUCACUUACUGGUACUCCUGGUGGUGGUGGCCAGAGAGGGAAGAGUUGCGGGUUGGCGUGGCAGUCAGUCUCGCUCGUUGUGGGUGGUGUAUGUAUCUGGACAGGUGUGGUGUUGUGGUGCCAUUACUCCAUUGUAAUAAUCUGUCUUCACGGCCUUAUUGUGUCGUCACUGUAAGAGCUGCUGUGUCACUACUGAAUAAUAAAUUGUUAAGAAAUCUU